AUUGAACGCUGGCGGCAGGCCUCACACAUGCAAGUCGAGCGGAUGAAGAGAGCUUGCUCUCUGAUUCAGCGGCGGACGGGUGAGUAAUGCCUAGGAAUCUGCCUGGUAGUGGGGGACAACGUUUCGAAAGGAACGCUAAUACCGCAUACGUCCUACGAGAGAAAGUGGGGGAUCUUCGGACCUCACGCUAUCAGAUGAGCCCAGGUACGAUUGGCUAGUUGGUGAGGUAAAGGCUCACCAAGGCGACGAUCGUUAACUGGUCUGAGAGGAUGAUCAGUCACACUGGAACUGAGACACGGUCCAGACUCCUACGGGAGGCAGCAGUGGGGAAUAUUGGACAAUGGGCGAAAGCCUGAUCCAGCCAUGCCGCGUGUGUGAAGAAGGUCUUCGGAUUGUAAAGCACUUUAAGUUGGGAGGAAGGGCAGUAAGUUAAUACCUUGCUGUUUUGACGUUACCGACAGAAUAAGCACCGGCUAACUUCGUGCCAGCAGCCGCGGUAA
rnacentral:rRNA from 1 species